AAAACGACUCUCGACAACGGAUAUCUCGGCUCUCGCAUCGAUGAAGAACGUAGCUAAAUGCGAUACUUGGUGUGAAUUGCAGAAUCCCGUGAACCAUCGAGUCUUUGAACGCAAGUUGCGCCCGAAGCCAUUAGGCCGAGGGCACGUCUGCCUGGGCGUCACGCAUCGCGUCGCUCCCC
rnacentral:rRNA from 1 species